UACGUAGGCAGCAAGCGUUGUUCGGAGUUACUGGGCGUAAAGGGUGUGUAGGCGGUUGGUUAAGUUUGGUGUGAAAUCUCCCGGCUCAACUGGGAGGGUGCGCCGAAUACUGAAUGACUAGAGGGCGGGAGAGGUGAGUGGAAUUCCUGGUGUAGCGGUGAAAUGCGUAGAUAUCAGGAGGAACACCGGUGGCGAAGGCGGGUCUCUGGGCCGAUACUGACGCUGAGGAGCGAAAGCAUGGGGAGCAAACAGG
rnacentral:rRNA from 1 species